AAAAUACUACUCGUUUUGAAUCAAUAGAAAAAAGCUUGGGAUACGAUAACAUUGUUGGCUGUUCGUGUUCAUUUAUUGGCGCUUUAAAAAUAUCAUCACCAAACCGAAAUACAACGUACCCGCAAGCAAAUACCAACUUUGUCCCCAUUACUGUCAUCAUUUUCAUCAUGACGCCAGGCCAAUCAAUAACAAAACCAACGUCAUAUAGGUCUGACCUAAGGGGAUUUAUCUCUCGCGAAUGCUGCGAAUGCAUUCGCAUUACAGAACAAAAAUUCGAAUGUUUGCGAAUGCGACGAAUGCGGCUAUGACAGCGAACUUGUGACUACAUAAUUCAUUCGUUCAUUCGUGUUUGUGCAUGCAUUCGCAACGCUGCCGUAUGAUUUCUAUGUAAACAUUCGCACUUGCAUUCGUGAGAACGUUCGAGAACAGCGAAAUACGACUGCUAUACGAAUGCGAGUGCGAAUGUUUACAUAGAAAUCAUAUGGCAGCGUUGCGAAUGCAUGGCACUGAGCGCGAAUUUGGGAAUAAAAAUUCGAAUGCCAAACCGACAUAGAAGCCCCUAGGGUCUGACACCAAACUAAUCGCAGGCAAUGAAGCCGAAUCCGCGUUUGAGAUAUACUCACCACUACCGGCAGAUGUACACUGGAAUGCAUGGUUGAUUCAAAAUAAUCUUGGAGAAUUUCAAUUGAUGGUGACUCUGCUUACAAAUGACGCCAAUCCGAUUGAUAUCACAAUUCAGGAUGCUAUUGCACAUCUUCAACAUGCCGAACGAGAUGAAUUCACAGAUAACAUUCGACCGGCGCAUUUUCAAACGGAUUUAGGUGAUGAGUUAUCAGACGAUAACCUUACUG